CGCGUAGGCGGACUAUUAAGUCGAGGGUGAAAUCCCGGGGCUCAACCCCGGAACUGCCUUCGAUACUGGUAGUCUUGAGUUCGAGAGAGGUGAGUGGAAUUCCGAGUGUAGAGGUGAAAUUCGUAGAUAUUCGGAGGAACACCAGUGGCGAAGGCGGCUCACUGGCUCGAUACUGACGCUGAGGUGCGAAAGUGUGGGGAGCAAACA
rnacentral:rRNA from 1 species